AAACGCAUGCGCAUGGUAUUACCCCCACCACCACCACCUCCGUCCACGCUCCGCCCCCAGCUAACUACCAUGGCUGCUAUCUAGGCAGGAAGUGUCUGUUAUUUCUCAUCUCCACCGAGACAAAACUAGCUUAAUUCUAACUCCGCUGAAUAAAAUAAACUGCAGUUCGGCUGGCCCAUCCUCGGAGUUUGGGCCUUCGGAGACUGACUUUUUUCUCCGUAAUAUUUAACACUUUAGUAACGGCCAGCAGAAGGAAAAGGGUGCACAGUAAACGAAAAGACCACGUGAUAUUUACUUCCGCAUACUUAGAUAUUCUCUAAUUUUCCCCAAGCCAACUGCCAGGGGAAUAGUUAUCCGAGAGAAAAAUGAUUAUGAAAGGAUUCCUGUACCGUUAACUAGAAUAAUCUCUCGAGGAAUUUUUCAAUCUAAUAAGGGGACUAUGACUUUAACAAAAUAUAGUUAUCCCUUGUUGGCUUCGGGAAGGGUGGCUGGAGAGGAAGGAGGGAAAUAAAGAAAUGCCAUGAUGUUGUGUCUAUACCUGUCUAAAAUUUAAAAUGACUCGGAAGUGAAUUUGACCUCUAUGAUAUUUUGGAUAGCCAGUGCUAGAGCGAAGACUUGUAUCUAAAUACUAUGGAGAUACUGGGGACUUCUUAGUUAUCUAACAAGGUAAGUAGGUUUCUGGUAAGUAGGGAAGGUAAGUAGGUUUCUGGCGGCUUCUUUACUCACUAAAUAGUCUUUCUAUCCCCCUCUGUCCUUCGUAGUCGUAUGAAAUAACAAGAGCCCUCAAAAUCAGAAACAGAAUCAAUACUAUUUAAGUCUUAUUUAUCCCCAAACAGACAUAACUAGUUUUAAAGACUGAUAUUUUAGGAAUAUUUGUUUUGAUUUAAAGUUUAAAAUUCUAUUAAAUUGUAUUCCUAUUUCUGAUGAUUUUAUUCACAGUCACAACUCUUAUUCAUUGAUAAAAUUAAGUCCCUAUAUAAUAGAAUGAAAAGAGUACAGGCUCUGGAGUCAGGAAUGCCAGGGCUCAAAUUCCACUUCUUAUACUUCCUACCUGUGUGACCUUGGGCAGUUUCUUAACUUCCUGAUUUCUCAUCUCUAAAAUGAGGGACUUUGACAACAUGACCUCUUAGGUUCCUUGACAUUCUAGAUCUAUGAUUUUGUAGACUUGCAUUGGGUAACUUCUACUAAUUACUAUUUUCUACUUUCUGCUAACUACUUUCUAAUUUACUUGUCACUUUUUAAAUUUAAAAUUUUUCUGACUCACCUCCUUAUGAUCACUUUCAGAACUGAUGCUGUAGGUUGUUGUAGAAGUCUUCAGAUUUCUUCCUUUUAACCUGAGAUUUCAAAGUGAACUCUCAAAAGCAGAAGAUGAAUGUCAGCAGGUAGCAUGGUAUACUAAAUAGAAAACUGGAUCAGGUACCAGAAGACAUAGGCUAAAGGCCUGACAAGUCUUGAAAUCUUGAGAAAGAGGAUCUUAAUUUCCCUAUCUGUACAGUGAAGAGAUUAGACUAA
rnacentral:lncRNA from 1 species